UACGGAGGGUGCAAGCGUUAUCCGGAUUCACUGGGUUUAAAGGGUGCGUAGGUGGGCUCGUAAGUCCGUGGUGAAAUCUCCAAGCUUAACUUGGAAACUGCCGUGGAUACUAUUAGUCUUGAAUAUUGUGGAGGUAAGCGGAAUAUGUCAUGUAGCGGUGAAAUGCUUAGAUAUGACAUAGAACACCGAUAGCGAAGGCAGCUUGCUACACAAUCAUUGACACUGAGGCACGAAAGCGUGGGGAUCAAACAGG
rnacentral:rRNA from 1 species